CGUUGACCUUGCUCGUGUCCGUCAGCCCGUGCAUGUGGAGGGAGGCGGAGCUGAAGAGGAGGAGGCUGUCGAGGUGGAGAUAAGACAGCAGGCGGAAACAGCUGAAGAGAAACACAUUGAAACGAAAACACUUCCUGUUGAACCUCCAGCUGCCGUCGCUGUGACGUCAGAGCAGCGCAGAGUCCAGGUGUCACAGAUUCAGACAACCACAGAGCUCUCUACCCACGUGGACACUGGUCUCGCUCCGUCUCCAGUUCCACAUUUCACAGUUUCUAAAGUUUCAGUUCCUAAACAUGAAUCGAGCCACGAGGUGUCCAUCGCUGGCUCUGCUAUCGCCACUCUGCACAAAGAGUUGUCUUCCCCCUCCGCUCCCAGAAAGGUCAUCAAGCCCGUCAAGUCUCCCAGUCCGUCUCGCAGAGCGGUGGCGGUGGAGGUGCGCGUGACGCCGGAGCCCCUCCCCCCACCGUUUAGAGACGUCAGAUAUCAGUUUGAGUCGCAGCUGGUCGGAGCUCAGGCUGUGAGUGAGGAGGAGUUUGAGGACUGGGAGCCUCAGGUUGGUCUGACCCCCCUCGCUGUCAUCCUCCCUUCACCUCCCCCAGUUUAACCCCGUGUGGAUUGUUAGCACUUCAC